UACGAACCGAGCGAACGUUGUUCGGAAUCACUGGGCUUAAAGGGCGCGUAGGCGGACUAUCAAGUCUGGGGUGAAAUCCCGCGGCUCAACCGUGGAACUGCCUCAGAUACUGACGGUCUCGAGGGAGGUAGGGGCAUGCGGAACUGUAGGUGGAGCGGUGAAAUGCGUUGAUAUCUACAGGAACUCCGGUGGCGAAAGCGGCGUGCUGGACCUCUUCUGACGCUGAGGCGCGAAAGCUAGGGGAGCAAACGGG
rnacentral:rRNA from 1 species